rnacentral:rRNA from 1 species
UACGGAGGAUGCGAGCGUUAUCCGGAUUUAUUGGGUUUAAAGGGUGCGUAGGCGGGUUAUCAAGUCAGCGGUAAAAUCGUAGAGCUCAACUCCAUCCAGCCGUUGAAACUGAUGAUCUUGAGUGGGCGAGAAGUAUGCGGAAUGCGUGGUGUAGCGGUGAAAUGCAUAGAUAUCACGCAGAACUCCGAUUGCGAAGGCAGCAUACCGGCGCCCGACUGACGCUGAAGCACGAAAGCGUGGGUAUCGAACAGG